AUGUUCUUCCUCUUUCGGCAAUCACGAACGGUGCUCUCAUGUGAUCUCUUCCUUCUUCAUACUUCCAUCUCCGCCAUGACAACCUUCCCUCCGCCGCGAUCUCACUAUUUCGAACCUCUGCCUUCUCCUUCUCCUAUAAAAAACGUUUCCUCAAAAACCACCGGAGUACCACCGUCGGCCCUUCAAUCGCGAGGACGACGACGAGAAAACAACGAACAAGCCUUUUCCAGAACUCAG